rnacentral:rRNA from 1 species
UACGUAGGGUGCAGGCGUUAAUCGGAAUUACUGGGCGUAAAGUGUGCGCAGGCGGCGCUGCAAGUCGAGUGUGAAAUCCCCGAGCUUAACUUGGGAAUUGCGCUCGAAACUACGGCGCUGGAGUAUGGCAGAGGAAGGUGGAAUUCCACGUGUAGCGGUGAAAUGCGUAGAGAUGUGGAGGAACACCGAUGGCGAAGGCAGCCUUCUGGGCCAAUACUGACGCUCAUGCACGAAAGCGUGGGGAGCAAAC